UGAAUGCUUCAAUGACCUUUGAGGAAAAUGCACUAUGAAUUCUUUAUUCAUAAUGGAAACGUUGGAUGGUGGCUUUCAAAGCAAAGCAAUUUUAAUGUGAAUUCUUUAUUCAAAAUGUGGAUGGAUAGACUUUGUUCCAUGAUUUUUGUAAGGGUGGCCCAAAAAUGCUGGAUGAUGCCUUAAUUUGAAAGCUGGUUGUUGACCCUAGUCCUUAAAUGCUAUUAUCUAUUGUGCUUUGAUGGACCCUUAGUCCCUAAAUGCAAUUUUGCAACUACAAUAUGAAGUGAUUUUGCAAAGCAAAAGAAAGUGUUUCCUUGUAUAUGAUUGGCCCACUGAUAAAGGUUUUAAAGGAAUUCUCUAAGGAAGAAACGAAUCAACUGAAGCAAAGUACAAAGAAACCAACUCUUUGGAGUCCUCUAUGAUAUUUAUACUGUAUUGCAUCUCUUACACUGAUCAUCUGUAUUAUUAAAAUGCAGAACCUGAUCCAGCAUUGAAAAUAGUUCGUCGCCAGAUUUCACCUGUUAUAUACCUCAUAAUUACAAGGAGAGUAGCUAUCUUGUAUCAGAUUUUACUUUUACGGUAGGAAAAGCUCACUUAAAUAUAAAUUUAAGUUACGGUUUUAUAUAUAAAGUUUUCACAUGAGCUGUAAGUGCUAUGUUUUUUUAGUGGCUGGUACAGUGUUACAGUUAAAGUGUGUUAGUUUUAAAUACUUGUCUUUUGUUGAGGAAUUGAGUGCAAACUAUUUGAUGUGUGCAUUCAGAAUUCUGUUGGAGGACAUUCUGAAUUUACCGGUCAGCACUUCAACCCAAAGAUGAAGUAAGAAAAUUAUCAGUUGGCUACUUUACCUCAUCCCCACAGCUUGCCUGUACUUUAUUCUAAAAUUCAUGAUACAUAUCACAUUAUGCCAGAAUGGCUGAUGGGGUGCAUAAAUUCUACAUCACAAGUUUGCAUAAGCUGUUUUCUUUAGCCUAAAUCCUAAUAUCCUACUACAUAAUCUUUACUGCCAAAUUUCUCAUUGAUGGAUUAGAUUAGUUUCAUAAACAUGGACUUGUUUGGAUUGACUUAUUUGAGCUUAUCUACUAACAUAAGUUUUGUGCAGCUGUUAAUUUGGGAGAACUUACGAAAGCAACUUAGGACAAUUUGGAUAAGUUUUUUUCACAAGCUCUCCAAUAUAGCUUAUAAAAAUAGUCUGUAGCAUAUAUGAAAAUAAUUUAUCUUUGUUUUAUAGCUUAUGUAAGCUUAUAUAUAAGCUCUUAUUAUGAUUGGCGUUUGUGCUAUAAGUUAUAUAUAAGCUCAAUGGGCAUCUGCAAAUUUUAUAUGUUUUGCAAUUCAAUAAGGCAUGAGAUGAUGGGCAGAUGCACAGGGAAUUUGCAAUGAAGGCAGCUGUCCACCCCAAAGUUGCAAUUGUGAUCCUGUAAUCAUUACCUUCAUUACGAGUUGUCGCGAUUUUUCUACAUUUCAUGAUGCUUUUCUUCAUCUUGGUUUUCCUCAGUUUAGCUCGCCAGUGUGCCCAACUUUGGUUGAAGACUAGGGAGAUGCUUGGCUUCCUCCUUGGUUUCAUCUCAGAACCUGAUCAGUCUGUAGUGCCAAAGGAUGUUUUGAAGGCUGCAUGUGAGAAGGUUCAUGAUCAUUGUUCUUGCAAUUGGAACUGAAGAGUUGCCACCUCAAGAUGUUGUUGAUGCAAGCAAACAACUGAAAGAUUUAAUAUUGCAAUUAUUGGAACGACAUUGGUUAAAAGCAUGGUGAAGUGCGGAUUUUGGGCACCGCAGGGAGACUAGUGGUUUCUGUUGAAAAUCUUAUCACGAAACAAACAGAACAAGAGGUUGAGGUUCGAGGUCCUCCUGUUUCAAAAGCAUUUGAUCAAGAAGGAAAUCAAACAAAGGCUGCUGUGGGUUUUUCUCGUAAAUAUUAUGUUCCACUGGACUUAGUAUACAGAAAGGUUGAUGGGAAAACAGAAUAUGUAUACGCUUGUAUAAAAGAGUCUUCAAGACAUGCUUUGGAGGUUUGAUCUGAAGAUUUGCCUGCUACUAUUGCUAAAAUUUCAUUUCCAAAGACAAUGCGUUAGAAUUCACAGUAAAAAUUCGUCUUGCGGCCUUCGUAAUACUACUUCAGCUGUUGUCCAGAUAGAAAACGCAGAAUCUUAUCCAGCUGCAAUGAGAAAGGCUGGAGUCAAUGUUGUUGUUGAGGACCAUAAGAAAAAAUUGUAGAGCAAUGUAAUACAUUAGCCGAAAGUGUAAAUGGCCAAAUUCUGAUUCCGAAAGGUUUGCUUGACGAGGUUGUAAAUCUUGUUUAGGCACCUAUUCCAGUGCUUGGAAAGUUUAAAGAAACCUUCUUAGAUCUUCCAAAGGAUCUUUUGACUAUGAAACAAAAUGCAAAUACAAAUGGUGGCAAGGAAUUGAACCCACAACCUCCUGCAUCAAUUGUUAGACUACAUACAAUGGUGUUGAAUCCAUUGUGUUGAAUCUGCAAAAAACAGUUGAAACCAUUGCAAGCCUGUGUUGAAUCCUAACUGGCGGAAAGAGAUGAUGAAAAUAUUAAACACAGUUGAAACCUGCUUGGAUGGCCACAUGGCGCGUUUCAAUUUGGGCUCCCUGGCGCGUGUUGCGCACGCGCGGACACUGCGGCUGGUGAAGAGAAUCACGUGGAGA